GCCAUGCCGCGUGUGUGAAGAAGGCCUUUUGGUUGUAAAGCACUUUAAGUGGGGAGGAAAAGCUUAUGGUUAAUACCCAUAAGCCCUGACGUUACCCACAGAAUAAGCACCGGCUAACUCUGUGCCAGCAGCCGCGGUAAUACAGAGGGUGCAAGCGUUAAUCGGAAUUACUGGGCGUAAAGCGCGCGUAGGUGGUUAUUUAAGUCAGAUGUGAAAGCCCCGGGCUUAACCUGGGAACUGCAUCUGAUACUGGAUAACUAGAGUAGGUGAGAGGGGAGUAGAAUUCCAGGUGUAGCGGUGAAAUGCGUAGAGAUCUGGAGGAAUACCGAUGGCGAAGGCAGCUCCCUGGCAUCAUACUGACACUGAGGUGCGAAAGCGUGGGUAGCAAACAGGAUUAGAUACCCUGGUAGUCCACGCCGUAAACGAUGUCUACCAGUCGUUGGGUCUUUUAAAGACUUAGUGACGCAGUUAACGCAAUAAGUAGACCGCCUGGGGA
rnacentral:rRNA from 1 species